CCUACGGGUGGCAGCAGUAGGGAAUAUUGCUCAAUGGGGGAAACCCUGAAGCAGCAACGCCGCGUGGAGGAUGAAGGUUUUAGGAUUGUAAACUCCUUUUGUUAGAGAAGAUUAUGACGGUAUCUAACGAAUAAGCACCGGCUAACUCAGUGACAGAAGCAGCGGUAAAACGGAGGGUGCAAGCGUUACUCGGAAUCACUGGGGGUAAAGAGUGCGUAGGCGGGGUAAUAAGUCAGAUGGGAAAGCCUGUAGCUUAACUACAGAACUGCCGUUGAAACUGUUACUCUGGAGUGUGGGAGGGGUAGGUGGAAUUCUCGGUGUAGGGGUAAAAUCCGUAGAGAUCGAGAAGAAUACUCAUUGCGAAGGCGGCCUGCUGGAACAUAACUGACGCUGAUGCACGAAAGCGUGGGGAGCGAACAGGAUUAGAUACCCGAGUAGUC
rnacentral:rRNA from 1 species